GGGACGUUUGCACAGCCUGCGUCCCUAUCCUGCUUCUGGUUCGCCUGAUUCCCCAUCUCUCUCCCUGUCAAUGAAUGGCCCCUUGACCAACAGCAGCACUGGCUCCUGGGAACCCCAAAAUGUACUUUCUUAGAUCACUUUGCACACCAUUGAAUCUGAAAGAGAGCCAUAUCAACACCUGUGUUCUUCCAUUGCUCCGGGUGGCUGACUUUUGCCUAUGUAACGCUCCAUUGCCACCUGACUGCAGAACUUGGCAUGCUCUGCUUCUUCUUUUUAUUUCUCCCUGCUCACAAACUCCCCGUUAUCUAGAUGACAGAUUACAUGCUCAGCCUCAAAAUCUCAUCUCCUGAACUGACUGCCCAUGAACAUGUUCCUUGUUAGGACUCAUUCAUUUCUUGAGAACCUAGAAUGAGCUUAGUGCUAGGCAACUCCCUGAUAUGUGAUAUGUAUUAGUCUGCUCAGGCUGCCAUAACAAAAAGCCACAGAAUGGGUAGCCGUCACAAUCGAUGUUAUUUUCUUUGUACAGACAAGAAGACCAAGAUCAAGGCGUCUGCUGAUUUGGGUUCCAGGAAGGCCUCUUCCUGCUCUUGGCCUGUGACAGCACCCUUCUUGCUGCGUCAUUUUACCGUGCCUUCCCUUCCUUACAACAUCAUUAAUCCCAUCCUGCCUCAACCCCUGGCCUCAUCGAAUCCUACCACAUCCCAGGAACAUUAUCUAAAACUGUAAAGUUAGAGGAACAAAGAAGAUGGCUAUAGAUCUUUUGCCAUCAACAGGGUCCUUCAAGGGACAAGCAUGCGUCCAAAAGUGCUGGGCUCCAAUGGGUCCUUCCUGGGCCUUUUCUGCCAGAGUACAGGGGAAGAAGUACCCUCUGCAGCUGGAGCCGAGGGCAGGGGUCAGCCACCAGCAGCAGGGGGACAGUGCUCACAGGACCAGCUUGGACCACACUGCCAGAAGACAAUCUGGAAAGAAUACUCUGAUGAUCAUAUUUGAACUCCUGGACCUAACCAUGCCUACAUUCCUCAUUCCUGAGCACUUUUGCUCAAGUCUAAAUUGAGUGUUGAUCACUUGUAACCAAAAAGUAUUAGCUCACCUUGAUGAACCAUUCUUACAAUUAGCAAAGCUGGGAAUAAAAA